UCCCCACCCCGGUGAGAAUGCCCUUAACAUCAAUUUAGAUCAAGAGGAGCAGGCAUUAAGCGCACUAUUUAGUAGCUCAAGACGCCUUGCUUAACCACACCCCCAAGGGAAACAGCAGUGAUAGAAAUUUAGCAAUGAACGCAAGUUUGACUAAGUUAUGCUACUCUAGGGUUGGUAAAUUUCGUGCCAGCCACCGCGGUCAUACGAUUAACCCAAACUAAUAAAUUUCCGGCGUAAAGCGUGAUUAGAACCAAAACAAAAAUAAAAUCAAAUAACAACUAAGCUGUAAAAAGUAAUAGUUACAAACAAAAAUAAACGACGAAAGUGAUUUUAUAACCUUCGAACUCACGAUAGCUAAGACCCAAACUGGGAUUAGAUACCCCACUAUGCUUAGCCCUAAACUUAAAUAAUUCCAUAACAAAAUUACUCGCCAGAGAACUACAAGCCAGAGCUUAAAACUCAAAGGACUUGGCGGUGCUUUAUACCCACCUAGAGGAGCCUGUUCUAUAAUCGAUAAACCCCGAUAAACCUUACCACUCUUUGCCAACUCAGCCUAUAUACCGCCAUCUUCAGCGAACCCUAAAAAGGAACAAAAGUAAGCUCAAUUAUCCCCAUAAAAACGUUAGGUCAAGGUGUAGCCUAUAGAGUGGAAAGCAAUGGGCUACAUUUUCUACUUCAGAACAUACGAAAGCCCUUAUGAAACUCUAAGAGCCAAAGGAGGAUUU
rnacentral:rRNA from 1 species